AAAAACAUGGCUCUUUGGUAUUAAUAGAUAAAGAGUCGGACCUGCCCGGUGAAUAAUUUUUAACGGCCGCGGUAUUCUGACUGUGCGAAGGUAGCAUAAUAAUUUGCCCUAUAAUUGGGGGCUGGUAUGAAUGGUUUGACGUGAGCAACGCUGUCUCUACACUGAUUUUUUAGAACUUGAUUUUUAGGUGAAGAAACCUAAAUUUUAUUAAAAGACAAGAAGACCCUAUUGAGCUUUAAAUAAGUAGACAGGAUUAAAUUUAUCUUAUAGAAAAUUUUAUUUGUUUAAGAUUUUGGUUGGGGCGACUAAGGAACAUUUAAAGCUUCUUUUAUAACUUAAGGUUUUACAGAUAUUGAUCCAAACGUUUUGAUUGAAGAAAUUAGUUACCAUAGGGAUAACAGCAUAAUUUUCUUUGAGAGUUCAUAUCGAAAAGGGAGUUUGUGACCUCGAUGUUGGACUAAAAUUUCCUGAAGAUGUAGUAGUCUUCAAGGGUUGGUCUGUUCGACCAUUAAAAUUUUACGUGAU
rnacentral:rRNA from 1 species